UACGUAGGGGGCAAGCGCUGUCCGGAUUUAUUGGGCGUAAAGAGCGUGUAGGCGGCCAUUCAGGUCAGCUGUGAAAACUCGAGGCUCAACCUCGAGACGUCGGUUGAAACCGUUUGGCUAGAGUCCGGAAGAGGAGAGUGGAAUUCCCGGUGUAGCGGUGAAAUGCGCAGAUAUCGGGAAGAACACCCGUGGCGAAGGCGGCUCUCUGGGACGGUACUGACGCUGAGACGCGAAAGCGUGGGGAGCGAACAGG
rnacentral:rRNA from 1 species